UCCCUUCGGGGACUGGAACACAGGUGCUGCAUGGCUGUCGUCAGCUCGUGUCGUGAGAUGUUGGGUUAAGUCCCGCAACGAGCGCAACCCUCGCCUUUAGUUACCAACAUUCAGUUGGGGACUCUAAAGGAACCGCCGGUGAUAAGCCGGAGGAAGGUGGGGAUGACGUCAAGUCCUCAUGGCCCUUACGCGCUGGGCUACACACGUGCUACAAUGGCGGUGACAGUGGGCAGCAAACUCGCGAGAGUGCGCUAAUCUCCAAAAGCCGUCUCAGUUCGGAUUGUUCUCUGCAACUCGAGAGCAUGAAGGCGGAAUCGCUAGUAAUCGCGGAUCAGCAUGCCGCGGUGAAUACGUUCCCAGGCCUUGUACACACCGCCCGUCACACCACGGGAGUUGGGUUCACCCGAAGGCGUUGCGCUAACUCGCAAGAGAGGCAGGCGACCACGGUGGGCUUAGCGACUGGGGUGAAGUCGUAACAAGGUAGCCGU
rnacentral:rRNA from 1 species